UGGUACUGGUAACUGCAAAAGAUUACAAUUUUUAAUGGAAAUAUGAGUAGUGAUUGAAAUAUCAAAGAAAUUUGAAAGAUUUUUCCUUGGAUUUACGGAAAUUUGAAAUAUCAAAGAAAUUCGAACAACAAUCGUAUGCAUAAAAAUAAAUUUGAAAGAGAUUUUGAAUAUGCAUGGUAAUGACCUUUUGAUCACUGGGGUAUAUAUCAUUUUUCUUAAAAUAUAAAAUCUAAUAAGGUAAAAUUACAAAAAUUGCAAUAAUUUUGAAAAUUCAAAACUUCACUGCAAAUAGUAGUGGCAAAGAUCUAAAAUUUGUUAGAUGAUGAUAGUUUAAACCAAGCACAAUGCCCAAGUUUUGUCCCCACACUUUGGCAAUUGUGAGUUAUGAGCUAUUACAGUGAGCCUGUGUGGUCUUCUGGUUCAAGCAUUGAGUCACAGAACAAGACACAUUUUCGUGGUUUCCUUUGGAACUUUCCUCUUCCCGUUUUUGAAUCCAGGGAAGUAUAAGAUUGGGAGAGUACUAUCGAAAUACUCAUGAUCCAAUCAAUGAAACUUGGCUAAAGAUUUAGAGAUGUGCCUAGUUUUCACUAGAAAGGAAAAUGAGUUGUUAGCAAACGAAGAGGACAGUUCCUUGUAGGGUUGGCAAUUUCAUUUGUGGGGGAUCUUGGCAACCGAAGGCACCAGAGAAACCCGAGCAUUGCUGCAGGGUUUGUUGAUUUGUGGUUCAAUGGGGGUUCACCAAACUGUGAGAUUGAAGGUGAUACAUGCAUUGGGGGGUCAUUAAAGCUUUGAAUGAUACCAAAGGGGACCAAAGUGCAGAGGCCGUUUUGAUGAAUGAGAGAAGAGGUUAAUUUGUCUCGAGGAAUGUAAUAAAGUUGUGCAUUAUGCUCAAAGUCGAGUGGAGUAGUUCAUCAAAUGACAAUGCUUGCAUCCAUCCUCGGUUUUUUUUUUCCCCGUAAGGAAAGGGUCAAGGUGCGAUAAUAUUAAACACAACGUCACU
rnacentral:lncRNA from 1 species